GAGACACAGUGGGUGUCCGAGGGGGGGCUCUGCGUCCGGAGGCGAGACGUCCGAGGUCAGAGGGGAGGAGACGGACCCGACCUUCCUUGGCUGUGCUCUCCAGCCCUGUCCUGUGCUGGACCCAACCUAACCUCUGCAGCCUCCCUGCCCUGGACACAAAUCUGGCUGAGACCCCAGACCCUGAUGGGGCAGAGCCUGGCACUGGAGGAGCCACCAGGAUGGGCCCCUGUGGGUGUGGGCAGAGGGUGAUCCUCAGUUCAGGUUUUUGCCAGAAGAUGGGUUCCUGCAGGAGGGGGUCUCAGCAGCUCAGACUUCAGAUGCGCUCACUGCUGCUCACUGUGGGACAGCCAGACACGGAGCCCUCUGUUCUCCAGCAGUUGUGGACAAUGAGGGAUCCCUGGAGGGAUGCCUGGUGGGCAGCAGGAGUCCCUCUUGUGGGUCAGGGUGCGGGGAUGGGCUCUCCCUGCAGGGACUUCCCAGUCUUGUCCUCUGGGAUUGGCAGUUUGCAGGGGUAUCCUCGGCAUCAGACCAGGGGGGCCACACAGGG
ensembl:lncRNA novel transcript